ACUCCUACGGGAGGCAGCAGUGAGGAAUAUUGGUCAAUGGGCGGGAGCCUGAACCAGCCAAGUCGCGUGGAGGAAGACGGUUCUAUGGAUUGUAAACUCCUUUUGCACUGGGGUAAAACGGGGGACGUGUCCCCCCUUGCAAGUACAGUGCGAAUAAGCAUCGGCUAACUCCGUGCCAGCAGCCGCGGUAAUACGGAGGAUGCGAGCGUUAUCCGGAUUUAUUGGGUUUAAAGGGUGCGUAGGCGGCCCCUUAAGUCAGCGGUAAAAUUUCUGCGCUCAACGCAGUCGUGCCGUUGAAACUGGGGGGCUUGAGUCUAGAUGAAGUGGGCGGAAUUUGUAGUGUAGCGGUGAAAUGCUUAGAUAUUACAAGGAACUCCGAUUGCGCAGGCAGCUCACUAAGCUAUCACUGACGCUGAAGCACGAAAGCGUGGGUAUCAAACAGGAUUAGAUACCCUGGUAG
rnacentral:rRNA from 1 species